UGGGGAUAUUGCACAAUGGGCGCAAGCCUGAUGCAGCGACGCCGCGUGAGGGAUGACGGCUUUCGGGUUGUAAACCUCUUUCGCUACUGAACAAGGCCCUGCUUGUUGUGGGGUUGAGGGUAGGUGGAUAAGAAGCGCCGGCUAACUACGUGCCAGCAGCCGCGGUAAUACGUAGGGCGCGAGCGUUGUCCGGAAUUAUUGGGCGUAAAGAGCUCGUAGGCGGCUUGUCGCGUCUGCUGUGAAAACGCGGGCUUAACUCCGCGCGUGCAGUGGGUACGGGCAGGCUAGAGUGUGGUAGGGGUGAUUGGAAUUCCUGGUGUAGCGGUGGAAUGCGCAGAUAUCAGGAGGAACACCGAUGGCGAAGGCAGGUCACUGGGCCAUUACUGACGCUGAGGAGCGAAAGCAU
rnacentral:rRNA from 1 species